rnacentral:rRNA from 1 species
AUUGAACGCUGGCGGCAGGCCUAACACAUGCAAGUCGAGCGGAUGAAGGGAGCUUGCUCCUGGAUUCAGCGGCGGACGGGUGAGUAAUGCCUAGGAAUCUGCCUGGUAGUGGGGGAUAACGUCCGGAAACGGGCGCUAAUACCGCAUACGUCCUGAGGGAGAAAGUGGGGGAUCUUCGGACCUCACGCUAUCAGAUGAGCCUAGGUCGGAUUAGCUAGUUGGUGGGGUAAAGGCCUACCAAGGCGACGAUCCGUAACUGGUCUGAGAGGACGAUCAGUCACACUGGAACUGAGACACGGUCCAGACUCCUACGGGAGGCAGCAGUGGGGAAUAUUGGACAAUGGGCGAAAGCCUGAUCCAGCCAUGCCGCGUGUGUGAAGAAGGUCUUCGGAUUGGAAAGCACUUUAAGUUGGGAGGAAGGGCAGUAAGUUAAUACCUUGCUGUUUUGACGUUACCAACAGAAUAAGCACCGGCUAACUUCG